GGCGGCAGGCUUAACACAUGCAAGUCGAGCGCCCCGCAAGGGGAGCGCCAGACGGGUGAGUAACGCGUGGGAAUCUACCCUGCUCUACGGAAUAACUCAGGGAAACUUGUGCUAAUACCGUAUACGUCCGAUAGGAGAAAGAUUUAUCGGAGUUGGAUGAGCCCGCGUUGGAUUAGCUAGUUGGUGGGGUUAAGGCCUACCAAGGCGACGAUCCAUAGCUGGUCUGAGAGGAUGAUCAGCCACACUGGGACUGAGACACCGGCCCAGUCUCCUACGGGAGGCAGCAGUGGGGAAUAUUGGACAAUGGGCGCAAGCCUGAUCCAGCCAUGCCGCGUGAGUGAUGAAGGCCCUAGGGUUGUAAAGCUCUUUCACCGGUGAAGAUAAUGACGGUAACCGGAGAAGAAGCCCCGGCUAACUUCGUGCCAGCAGCCGCGGUAAUACGAAGGGGGCUAGCGUUGUUCGGAAUUACUGGGCGUAAAGCGCACGUAGGCGGAUUGUUAAGUGAGGGGUGAAAUCCCAGGGCUCAACCCUGGAACUGCCUUUCAUACUGGCAAUCUAGAGUUCGAGAGAGGUGAGUGGAAUUCCGAGUGUAGAGGUGAAAUUCGUACAUAUUCGGAGGAACACCAGUGGCGAAGGCGGCUCACUGGCUCGAUACUGACCCUGAGGUGCGAAAGCGUGGGGAGGAAACAGGAUUAGAUACCCUGGUAGUCCACGCCGUAAACUAUGGAAGCCAGCUGUCGGCAAGUUUACUUGUCGGUGGCGCAGCUAACGCAUUAAGCUUCCCGCCUCGGGACUACGGUCGCAAGAUUAAAACUCAAAGGAAUUGACGGGGGCCCGCACAAGCGGUGGAGCAUGUGGUUUAAUUCGAGCAACGCGCAGAACCUUACCAGCCCUUGACAUCCCGGUCGCGGUUACCAGAGAUGGUAUCCUUCAGUUCGGCUGGACCGGUGACAGGUGCUGCAUGGCUGUCGUCAGCUCGUGUCGUGAGAUGUUGGCUUAAGUCCCGCAACGAGCGCUACCCUCGCCCUUAGUUGCCAGCAUUCAGUUGGGCACUCUAAGGGGACUGCCGGUGAUAAGCCGGAGGAAGGUGGGGAUGACGUCAAGUCCUCAUGGCCCUUACGGGCUGGGCUUCACACGUGCUACAAUGGUGGUGACAGUGGGCAGCGAGACCGCGAGGUCGAGCUAAUCUCCAAAAGCCAUCUCAGUUCGGAUUGCACUCUGCAACUCGAGUGCAAGAAGUUGGAAUCGCUAGUAAUCGCGGAUCAGCAUGCCGCGGUGAAUACGUU
rnacentral:rRNA from 1 species